rnacentral:rRNA from 1 species
CCCUUAGAUGUCCUGGGCCGCACGCGCGCUACACUGAUGCAUUCAACGAGCUUUACCUUGGCCGAGAGGCCUGGGCAAUCUUUUAAACCUGCAUCGUGAUAGGGAUAGAUUAUUGCAAUUAUUAAUCUUGAACGAGGAAUUCCUAGUAAACGCAAAUCAUCAAUUUGCAUUGAUUACGUCCCUGCCCUUUGUACACACCGCCCGUCGCUCCUACCGAUUGAGUGGUCCGGUGAGGCUUUGGGAUCUGAGCGGAAAGAGCGUUUCGCUGUUUCUGCUCGGAAAACUCAGUCGAACCUUAUCAUUUAGAGGAAGGAGAAGUCGUAACA